rnacentral:piRNA from 1 species
UGCACAUAUCCAAGCUAUGUGAUAUGGUUCA